UACGAAGGGGGCUAGUGUUGUUCGGAAUUACUGGGCGUAAAGCGCACGUAGGCGGAUCGAUCAGUCAGGGGUGAAAUCCCAGGGCUCAACCCUGGAACUGCCUUUGAUACUGUCGAUCUGGAGUAUGGAAGAGGUGAGUGGAAUUCCGAGUGUAGAGGUGAAAUUCGUAGAUAUUCGGAGGAACACCAGUGGCGAAGGCGGCUCACUGGUCCAUUACUGACGCUGAGGUGCGAAAGCGUGGGGAGCAAACAGG
rnacentral:rRNA from 1 species